GACGAACGCUGGCGGCGUGCUUAACACAUGCAAGUCGAACGGUAAGGCCCUUCGGGGUACACGAGUGGCGAACGGGUGAGUAACACGUGGGUGAUCUGCCCUGCACUUCGGGAUAAGCCUGGGAAACUGGGUCUAAUACCGGAUAGGACCACUGCCUGCAUGGGUGGUGGUGGAAAGCUUUUGCGGUGUGGGAUGGGCCCGCGGCCUAUCAACUUGUUGGUGGGGUGAUGGCCUACCAAGGCGACGACGGGUAGCCGGCCUGAGAGGGUGACCGGCCACACUGGGACUGAGAUACGGCCCAGACUCCUACAGGAGGCAGCAGUGGGGAAUAUUGCACAAUGGGCGCAAGCCUGAUGCAGCGACGCCGCGUGAGGGAUGACGGCCUUCGGGUUGUAAACCUCUUUCAGCACCGACGAAGCGCAAGUGACGGUAGGUGCAGAAGAAGGACCGGCCAACUACGUGCCAGCAGCCGCAGUAA
rnacentral:rRNA from 1 species